CCUGGAAUCUCAUAUCUGCUUCUGCAUUCAAUCUAUUGCACCAAGUUGUUUUGACUGAAGGGUAUGAAGAAAAACUGGCCUCAUCCAAAUAUGUGGUUGGAAAAGGGUGGAGUAUUUUAACAGCCCUUCAAAUAAUUGUUUAAACAUGUCCUUUACAAAACAACAUGAUAAGUUAAAUAAUUCUAAGGAGGAAAUCAACUGGGUAAUUGCCUUCAAUCCUUCCCUUUGGGGAUCCUGCACCACUAGCUGGAGCUCAGAGAAACAGUGAGCAAAGGAUAAAGAUGCUAGUGACUAUUGAAAACAUCAGAAACUCACACACAGAGUAGGGUCCCAGUGAUCAAGCUUUGUCUCCAGCAUCAUUUUAACCUCUAUUCUUGGAAGGGACACCGGAGGCGACUGAUUCCAACCCCUCUACUUGAAAAUUGAAAGAUGCAAAGCACAGAGUAGGGGAUGACAUGCUCAAGGCCCCAUCACCAGUUGGAGGCAGACCUGCAUAGAACUUGGGACAUGAAUGUAGGCACACACAAAACCCAGAGACAUUCCACCAACAUUUAAAGUCAAGAAUCCUCCCUGAUAUAUUUUGACCUUGUAAAUGACGCAAAGGGUUUGAACAAUUCAAAACAAACAAACAAACAAAAAAACAGGUCUAGGAUAAGUUUUUUCAAAAUCAUCAAAUAUAAAUUUCAAUCCAAUUUUUUAAUUUCAUAAAACCAAAGCCAAAUGAGGUUGAGUGAUUAGUUAAAGGUUAUGGGCAAGUGAUGGUAACGUCGAGCCUCUAAUUCAUGCAUUUGCCAAGCUCUAGCUUUGAAUGAUAUUGUAACUUGAAAGGAAUAAUGUUGUUCUUUUUAGAAAAUAACAUGGUCAUGGUAGACCACUUGGAAAAAUAUACAUAAACAUAAGGACAAAGUGACCCAUACGUUAAAGAUAAUCACUGUUAAUAUUUUUAUUAAAUGAAAAGCAUUACAUUUAACUUUACCUAAGUUUAUCAGAAAAAAAGAAUUAAAGAGGGUAGGUAUGGUGGCUCAUGCCUAUAAUCCCAGCACUCUAGGAG